rnacentral:rRNA from 1 species
CAGUAGCCGCGGGAAUACGUAGGUGGCAAGCGUUGUCCGGAAUUAUUGGGCGUAAAGGGCUCGCAGGCGGUUUCUUAAGUCCGAUGUGAAAGCCCCCGGCUCAACCGGGGAGGGUCAUUGGAAACUGGGAAACUUGAGUGCAGAAGUGGAGAGUGGAAUUCCACGUGUAGCGGUGAAAUGCGUAGAGAUGUGGAGGAACACCAGUGGCGAAGGCGACUCUCUGGUCUGUAACUGACGCUGAGGAGCGAAAGUGUGGGGAGCGAACAGGAUUAGAUACCCGUGUAGUCCCUGUCUCUUAUAC